rnacentral:rRNA from 2 species
GGAUGUGAUCAUACCAGCACUAAAGCACCGGAUCCCAUCAGAACUCCGAAGUUAAGCGUGCUUGGGCGAGAGUAGUACUAGGAUUGGUGACCUCCUGGGAAGUCCUCGUGUUGCAUUCC